GCAGUCGACGGGAUUGGAAAUAGCAAUAUUACCAUGAGAGUGGCGCACGGGUGCGUAACACGUAUGCAAUCUGCCCCUAACUGGAAGAUAGCCCGGCGAAAGUCGGAUUAAUAUUCCAUAACAUUGCGAAACGGCAUCGUUUUGUAAUUAAAGCUCCGGCGGUUAGGGAUGAGCAUGCGCGACAUUAGCUAGAUGGCGAGGUAACGGCUCACCAUGGCUACGAUGUCUAGGGGGUCUGAGAGGAUUAUCCCCCACACUGGUACUGAGACACGGACCAGACUCCUACGGGAGGCAGCAGUAGGGAAUAUUGGGCAAUGGACGCAAGUCUGACCCAGCCAUGCCGCGUGCAGGAUGACGGCCCUAUGGGUUGUAAACUGCUUUUGUACAGGAAGAAACCCCUUUACGUGUAGAGGGCUGACAUUACUGUAAGAAUAAGGAUCGGCUAACUCCGUGCCAGCAGCCGCGGUAAUACGGAGGAUCCAAGCGUUGUCCGGAUUUAUUGGGUUUAAAGGGUGCGUAGGCGGACCAUUAAGUCAGAGGUGAAAGUUUGCAGCUUAACUGUAAAAUUGCCUUUGAAACUGGUGGUCUUGANUACAGUUGAGGUGGGCGGAAUGUGUCAUGUAGCGGUGAAAUGCUUANAUAUGAUACAGAACACCGAUUGCGAAGGCAGCUCACUAAACUGUAACUGACGCUGAGGCACGAAAGCGUGGGGAGCGAACAGGAUUAGAUACCCUGGUA
rnacentral:rRNA from 1 species